rnacentral:rRNA from 1 species
UACGGGGGGGGGCAAGCGUUGUUCGGAAUUACUGGGCGUAAAGGCUCGUAGGCGGCCAACUAAGUCAUACGUGAAAUCCCUCGGCUUAACCGGGGAACUGCGUCUGAUACUGGAUGGCUUGAGUUCGGGAGAGGGAUGCGGAAUUCCAGGUGUAGCGGUGAAAUGCGUAGAUAUCUGGAGGAACACCGGUGGCGAAGGCGGCGAUCUGGGAAGAUACUGACGCUGAGGUGCGAAAGCGUGGGGAGCAAACAGGAUAGAAACCCUUGG